rnacentral:rRNA from 1 species
CCUACGGGGGGCUGCAGUAGGGAAUCUUCCGCAAUGGACGAAAGUCUGACGGGGCAACGCCGCGUGAGCGAAGAAGGUCUUCGGAUCGUAAAGCUCUGUUGUUAGGGAAGAACAAGUACGGGAGGAAAUGACCGUACCUUGACGGUACCUAACGAGGAAGCCACGGCUAACUACGUGCCAGCAGCCGCGGUAAUACGUAGGUGGCAAGCGUUGUCCGGAAUUAUUGGGCGUAAAGCGCGUGCAGGCGGUCCUUUAAGUCUGAUGUGAAAUCUUGCGGCUCAACCGUAAGCGGUCAUUGGAAACUGGGAGGCUUGAGUGCAGAAGAGGAAAGCGGAAUUCCACGGGGAGCGGUGAAAUGCGUAGGGAUGUGGAGGAACACCAGGUGGGAAGGCGGGUUUCUGGGCUGUAACUGACGCUGAGGCGCGAAAGCGUUAGGAGCAAACAGGAUUAGAUACCCCUGUAGGC